GCUCCUUUCCAUUUUCUCUUGCUUCGGUGAUCGCCUGCUGGGGAGGCCACCGGCCGGGCGUCAUGCCUGGUGGUUGCCGAAGCAUACCACUAUAAACUUUUUACUUUGCAAUGUAUCUUCUGAGAACUUUCUACAAAAGAACAAUCACAACUCACAACAAUGGAUCUCUUGGCUCUGGCAUCGAUGAAGAACGCAGCGAAAUGCGAUAAAUAAUAUGAAUUGCAGAAUUCAGCGAAUCAUCGAGUUUUUGAACGCACAUUGCGCCCUCUGGUAUUCCGGAGGGCACGUCCGACCGAGCGUCGCGUCACCGCUCAGGCUCUGCCUGGUGAUGGGGCAUGCGGGCAACCGCAGCUCCCAAAUGCAGUGGCGGUUCCCAUCGGGUUCCCUUGCGCAGUAGAAGCAACUCGCYGUCGCCUCGGAGUCCCGCGUGGGCGGCCUGCCGUAAAACACCCAACGUCUUCCACUGGUUGACCUCGGGUCGGACGAGAUUACCCGCUGAACUUAAGCAUAUCAAUAAGCGGAGGAAAAGAAACCAACAGGGAUUGCCUCAGUAACGGCGAGUGAAGCGGCAACAGCCCAGAUUUGAAAUCUGGCCUUCGGGCCCGAGUUGUAAUCUGCAGAUGAGUCUUCCGGCAAAGCGCCGUCCAAGUGCCCUGGAACGGGCCGCCGGAGAGGGUGAGAGCCCCGUACCGACGUGCGCCGCGCCUCUGUGAAGCUCAUUCG
rnacentral:sRNA from 1 species